rnacentral:rRNA from 1 species
UACGUAGGGUGCGAGCGUUAAUCGGAAUUACUGGGCGUAAAGCGUGCGUAGGCUGUUUUGUAAGUUGGAAGUGAAAGCCCAGGGCUUAACCCUGGAAUUGCUUUCAAAACUACAAGACUUGAAUCCCGGAGAGGAUAGCGGAAUUGUCAGUGUAGCAGUGAAAUGCGUAGAUAUUGACAGGAACACCAGUGGCGUAAGCGGCUAUCUGGACGGGUAUUGACGCUGAGGCACGAAAGCGUGGGGAUCAAACAGG